CCGGGAACCACGGUAACUCAAAAGAAAAGGGGGAUGCAGGUUCUGGACAGGAGAGCGCUGAGGGCCGGGAAGGUUGUCUCAGGAGCCGGAACCGGAAUGGGGUGCAUUGAGUCCCAGAGAACGACAGAGCAGCGCCAAAUAACAACAGCAGAAACAUGCAGAGACUACUGCCAUCAAGACAUUGUGUGGUACUUCUUUUUCUAAACAAAAAUGAGGUGCAGUGCAAACUGCCAGGUUAAGUUAGCAUAUACAUCAACAACAACUAUGCACAGCCAUUUGAAGGCGAGGUAUCCAGCAGAAAGUGGGGUGUGGUCCGUAGAUCAACAGUCAGUGUCUAGCUCUGUCACCCGGAAAAGGAAGUUCAAUGAUCGACAUGCAGAGCAGUCAGCGGCCUUCAUCACAGAGAUGAUAGCAAAGGACAUGCUGCCCAUUAGCUUUGUUGAGGUGGAGGGUUUUCUAAUUCUGGUGGCAUUUGUUCAGCGAGUAUAUGGUCCCAUCAAGAAAAAUGGUCACAGCUCUACUGGAUGAACUGUAUGAUGAGAGAGCGACAGUUGAAUCCGACGAAACUGAGCUGUUAGUCAAGAAAACCAAUUGACAAUGACUGCCAUUUUGGUCCUGUUU